UACGUAGGAGACGAACGUUAUCCGGAGUUACUGGGCGUAAAGGGCGUGUAGGCGGUUUGUUAAGUCUGGCGUGAAAGCUCUCGGCUAAACCGGGAGAGGUCGUUGGAUACUGGCGAACUAGAGGAUGGUAGAGGCGUGUGGAAUUCCGGGUGUAGUGGUGAAAUGCGUAGAGAUCCGGAGGAACACCAGUGGCGAAGGCGACACGCUGGGCCGUACCUGACGCUAAAGCGCGACAGCAUGGGGAGCAAACGGG
rnacentral:rRNA from 1 species